UCGACUCAGUAAACCUUAUAUAGCGCCACAAGCAUUUUGCAAAUCAGUGCUGAAGAAUGGAAGACAGGUGCCAAAAUCAAAUGCGAGUUUGAGCACAAGAUGGGAAAACAAGAGAGAGAGGCCGAAUAUACAGCUAAAUUAACACUGACACUGAAGCCACCAAUUGAAAGUGAAGUAUUUGUCAAUAAUACAGUUGUCUUGCAAGCUGUUGUUUCUGGAGAUGAAAAAAAAGUGAAAGAAGCUUCAGUGUUGUGCAAAGUGAAGAAUAAUGAAGUCACGCUGGGGCCUGGCAGUGUCAGCUUUUCUCAGGACAUUUCACAGUAUAUUAAAAUCCACAGAUUCACAGUUGAUACAAAUUCAUGGUUUAAUGGUGAAACUGUCACCUGCACCAUCCGUGACAGAGAACAUCAAGCAGGAAAUCCAUUGUAAUAAAGGAGAUGAAAAGACACCCAAUGUUACCAUUUACAGACCUGAUAGUAACAAAGACACAGAUCAUGUCUCUCUGGUGUGUGAGGUCACAAGCCCUAAACUUGGCGAUGUCUAUAUCAUGUGGAAAGUGGGCGAAAAGUCUAUAGAUGCCACAACCAGUGUUCCUAUUCAUCGAAAGAGCUCCACAUCGGUUCUCAGCAUCCUAACAAUGUCAAAACAAGAGUAUGAGGACCCCCGAACCACCAUCACCUGCGCAGUCAAACACCCCAACAUGGAGAAUACAAGCGCUCCAUUACAAGUUUCAACAAGCCAAAGGGAGCCACCUGAGCCAGAGAAGGGUUUUGCUCUGAACUGUAAUAAAGAUGUUCUGGAGGAGGAUGAGUUCAGAAGUCUCUGGUCCACUGCCACUUCAUUCAUCUUCCUCUUCCUCUUUUCUCUGACCUACAGCGCUGUACUCAGCCUCUUAAGGAUGAAGCAGUGAUGAUUUUUUCAAAAGAAUUUCUGAAAACUCCAAGGUUUCUUAUGUUGAAUCUACAUAAUGUGUCUCUAUAUACACACAUUUUUGAAGAAAUUGACAAAUAUAUACUCAAUGUUUGCACUCAUCAAUAAAGUCUUAUUAUGUGUACUCUUUCAGGCUAUCUAGAUUAUAUUCCUUCAAAUAUUUAAUCUCACAAUUGACAUUGACUUGCAGUUUCAGUAGAUGUUACAGUGAUAGGUCCUUCAGAACAUAAUGUGAGAGUAUUACUAAUAUAAAUAUACAUACACUGAAUAAAAUGGUGAAACAGUUUCCAUUCUGAGAAUGCUAAUAUAAAAUUCCACAAUUAAUUACAAAGAAAUGGCAAGUCACAAACCGGAUUAAUUGUGAAAUUUGAAGAAAGACUGAAAUAGUAUUUUCUUGAAAAACAUAUCUUAGUAGGCCUAUUAUUUAAAAGCAAAGGGGGAAAAAUAAACAUUUUUAUGACUUAA